UCCCACACAUGCACACCCGUGUGUGGUGAGACUGCACAAUGGGGUCAAGGAGCACAGAGGGCUGGAAGGAGCAGACCAGCCGGAGGAAGAGGGCAGAA